GCCGUUGUAGCUCAGUGGUAGAGCACCUCCAUGGUAAGGAGGGGGUCGUCAGUUCAAUCCUGACCAACGGCU
rnacentral:tRNA from 2 species